rnacentral:rRNA from 1 species
GAAGGUGGCAAGCGUUGUUCGGAAUCACUGGGCUUAAAGCGCGCGUAGGCGGAAAUUCAAGUGUCCUGUGAAAUCCCCCGGCUCAACCGGGGAACUGCGGGGCAAACUGGAUUUCUUGAGGCAAGUAGGGGUACAUGGAACUCUUAGUGGAGCGGUGGAAUGCGUAGAUAUUAAGAGGAACGCCGAUGGUGAAGACAGUGUACUGGGCUUGUCCUGACGCUGAGGUGCGAAAGCGUGGGGAGCGAACGGGAUUAGAUACCCCGGGUAGUCCACGCCGUAAACGAUGUCUACUAGGUUGUGGAGGUUCUGACACCCCUCACAGUCGAAGCAAAAGUGUUAAGUAGACCGCCUGGGGAGUACGGUCGCAAGGCUA